rnacentral:tRNA from 1 species
GGGCCGAUAGCCCAGCUGGUUAGAGCACACGCGCAGCAUAAGCGGGAGGUCGGUGGCUCAAGUCCAUUUAGGCCCACCA